CAAUUUAUUUGGCACGGAUGCCACCCGUGGCCCUUCUCCCCUCCCUGUCUUCGGAGCCGGCGAUGUCGCUGGAGCUCCAUCCCCACCCGCCAUCGCCGCAGUACGAUGAGGAGGAGAAAGCCUCCCCCUCCUCCUCCUCCUCGUCGGCGUCGUCGCCCGCGGCGGAGGACGCGAGACCCUUUCUCCGCCGCUCGGCGUCGGCUGCUGGAGGCGGCGGGAGAAGCCGGAGGCGGAGGACCGUCAGCGAACCCUCGCUCCGAUCCCUCUCCUCCCACACCUCGCGGGGCCGCUCCUUAGGUAGAGACGUCGGCCACGCUGCCGCCGAGACGUUUCUUCUUACCCGCCUCGCCAUCACCCUCCUCCGCUAUCUCGGGGUGGGCUAUAGGUGGAUCACAAAGUUUCUUGCCCUUAUUUGUUAUGCAACUUUGCUUAUGCCAGGAUUUCUCCAGGUUGGAUAUUAUUAUUUCUUCUCAAGUCAGGUACGUAGAAGCAUUGUAUAUGGAGAUCGGCCAAGAAAUCGAAUAUACUGUUGCAGAUUAGAUCUCUAUUUACCGACAAAAGUUGAUGGUUUGAAACCAGUUGUUGCAUUUGUUACUGGAGGAGCGUGGAUUAUCGGUUAUAAGGCUUGGGGUGCACUUUUAGGAAGGCGGUUGGCAGAAAGAGGCAUCAUAGUGGCAUGCAUAGAUUAUAGAAAUUUCCCUCAAGGAACCAUCAGCGAUAUGGUGGAGGAUGCAUCUCAAGGCAUCUCAUUCGUGUGCAAUAACAUUGGAAGUUAUGGAGGCGAUCCAAACAGGAUCUAUUUGAUUGGACAAUCUGCGGGUGCACAUAUUGCUGCUUGCACUAUUCUUGAUCAGGCAAUUAAAGAAUGUGGAGAAAGAGAGUGCACAUCAUGGAGUGUCUCACAAAUAAAAGCAUACUUUGGUAUAUCUGGGGGGUAUAACAUGCUUGAGUUGGUCGAUCAUUUCCAUAGUCGUGGCCUGUACCGGUCUAUUUUUCUAAGCAUAAUGGAAGGGGAGCAAAACUUGUGGCGUUUUUCUCCUGAAGUUCUGGUCCAGGAUUCUAGUAUUAAACAUGCCAUAUCUUUGCUGCCUCAUGUCAUCCUGUUUCAUGGAACAAGUGAUCAAUCUAUACCAUCAACUGCCAGCAAAAAGUUUGUUGAUACCCUUCACGGUGUUGGUGCUAAGGUUGACAUCGUUUUAUUUGAAGGAAAAACUCACACAGAUCUGUUUCUUCAGGAUCCUCUUAGAGGGGGAAAGGAUGAACUGCUGGAACAUAUUGCUGCAGUCAUUUAUGGUGGUGUUGCAGCUGCACAUGCCCAUAUAUCUGUAGCACCCUUGCCACGUCGUCUUGUUCCUGAAUUCAUGUUGCAGCUGGCUCGCAAAAUAAGUCCCUUCUAGAAAUUCAUGUUUCAAUUACAAGAAGCUUUUGUUUUUCCCAUUGCAAAUAAGGGUCCUUUGCUUAUGCAAGGAAAGCUUCAGCUUUGGUUUUCUUCAUUUAGGAGGGAGCAUACUUGCCCACAGAGCAAGCUAAUGAAAUUGGAGAGGCCACAUAUCUGGUGGUUGGCGUGGCACGUGAUCCCACCUAUGCUUUUUGUCUCGAUGUUGGCUGGCGCUGUGCUUUGGCUCUUUGCACCUCCAUGAUCUAACUCUUAUGAUGCACUUCUUCCUC